AUAUAUAUAUAUAUAUAUAUAGAGAGAGAGAGAGAGAGAGAGAGAGAAUUAUGCUAUCAUACUAUUAAUAGUACCAAGCCAUUAAUACUAUUGAUAGUAUAGUAGCAUAAUUCUAUAUGAGUCUGACUGCUAUACUAUCGAUAGUAGCAAGCUCUUGGUAUUAUUGAGUUUUCUACCGUUAGAUUUACCCUUUGAUCAUUUCCAUCCAUUAGAUUAUACUUUUAAAUCUACUCACUCAACACUAAGGGACCACUAUUAAUUUAAUCGGAAAUCAUUAUCACCCUAACCGCACAUCCUUUCAUCCAACGGCCGAAAACUCAAUAAUACCAAUGGCGCGCGGGCACACACACAUAUAUAUAUAUAUGUGUGUGUGUGUGUGUGUGUUGUGGUAAUAUAUUUUUUUUUUCUAAAAAUUAAGUUAUUAUAAACAGCAACUUUCAAUUUAAUAUAUUGUUCUUUCUUAUAAUUAAAGUCUAACACCGACCGUCUCCGCUGCAAAUGACAAAAGGCUUGAGAGUUAAUAUCCGAGGAUCCAAAUUUGAAUCCUAUUUGAUUCAUAUUUUCAGCUAAAUUUAUUUUUUAAAAAAAUAAACGAAAUAGAUAGCAUACUAUCUAUCUCUUCAGAACAAAAAAAAAAUACUAACUAUACACCUAUCUAAGAUGUAUAA
rnacentral:lncRNA from 1 species